AUGGCUCACAUGGCGGUUUCGGUACUGGCCAUCCUGCUCGCCUCGUGUGCCCUGGCGGCGGCGAGCUUCGACGACGAGUUCGACAUCACCUGGGGCGACGGGCGAGGGAAGAUCACGAACAAUGGCCAGCUCCUCACGCUGGGGCUGGACAAGGUCUCCGGCUCCGGGUUCCAAUCCAAGCACGAGUACCUCUUCGGCAAGAUCGAUAUGCAGCUCAAGCCCGUCCCCGGCAACUCCGCCGGCACCGUCACCGCCUACUACCUGUCGUCGCAGGGGCCGACGCACGACGAGAUCAACUUCGAGUUCCUGGGCAACGUCACCGGCGAGCCCUACACGCUGCACACCAACGUGUUCACGCAGGGGCAGGGCCAACGGGAGCAGCAGUUCCGCCUUUGCUUCAUGGUGGAUGAUAUGCCGAUCAGGGACUUCAAGAACCUUGAGGGAAAGGGGAUCGCCUUCCCCAAGAACCAGCCUAUGCGCCUCUACUCCAGCCUCUGGAACGCCGACGACUGGGCCACGCAGGGCGGCCGCAUCAAGACGGACUGGUCCCACGCGCCAUUCUCCGCUUCCUACCGCGGCUUCAAGGCCGACGCGUGCGUGGUGACCGUGGGCGGCCGGCCGCGCUGCGGCGCCAGCGUGGGCACGGAGGUCGCCCCCGGCACCGGCGCGGCCGGCGAGUGGUACAACCAGGAGCUGGACCUGACUCGGCAGCAGCGGAUGCGGUGGGUGCAGAGCAACUACAUGAUCUACAACUAUUGCACCGACCCCAAACGCGUCGCCAAGGGCGUCCCCGCCGAGUGCUCCAUCGUCUUCAACUCUUGUGAAGUGGCCCUCAUGAGCACUGCAUCAGAUUUCUUCUGCAUGUCAAGCAUGGAGCUGAAGUUCGGGCACACCUCCAUGGUGUUCUCGAACUUGGUGCGGUCACCAGCCGACCACCCGAGGAAGAAGGCCCUCCAGCCAAUACCCCAAGGGAAGGGGUUGGCGUUGGAGCUGGAGCUGGAGCUCAUGGCGAUGGAGAAGAGGAAGGUUGAUAGUGAGAGAAGAGGGAGGUGGGAGAGCAAUGAGAUGGGCCUGGAGGUGCUCCCGGCCAUUGACAAGAAGGGCAAGGAGGUGGUUCAUCUAAUGCCCGAGGUGGUGCUGCCGCCCACCGCCGAGGAAGAACCGAAGACGCCAACGGUUGGCGACGACGAGCGCAUGGAGGAGCCCCCCAGCAGCAAGCACCGCAACUACGACCACUACCACGAGGAGGGUGGCCCAACUCACUUCUGCAAGGUCAUCCUGACACCGAAUCUUGAGUGCAUCCUCAUGCCCCUAGACUUCACCAAGCACUUCGCCGCAGUGCCGACGGAGUUCAAGCUGAGGAACAAAAUCGGCUGCUCCUAG
rnacentral:rRNA from 1 species